UGGCGGACGGGUGAGUAACACAUCGGAACGUGCCUAGUAGUGGGGGAUAACUACUCGAAAGAGUAGCUAAUACCGCAUGAGAUCUACGGAUGAAAGCAGGGGACCUUCGGGCCUUGUGCUACUAGAGCGGCUGAUGGCAGAUUAGGUAGUUGGUGGGGUAAAGGCUUACCAAGCCUGCGAUCUGUAGCUGGUCUGAGAGGACGACCAGCCACACUGGGACUGAGACACGGCCCAGACUCCUACGGGAGGCAGCAGUGGGGAAUUUUGGACAAUGGGCGAAAGCCUGAUCCAGCAAUGCCGCGUGCAGGAUGAAGGCCCUCGGGUUGUAAACUGCUUUUGUACGGAACGAAAAGCCUGGGGCUAAUAUCCCCGGGUCAUGACGGUACCGUAAGAAUAAGCACCGGCUAACUACGUGCCAGCAGCCGCGGUAAU
rnacentral:rRNA from 1 species